rnacentral:rRNA from 1 species
GCUAAGGUAGCAUAGUCAUUUGUUGUUUAAUUGGUAACUGGAAUGAAAGGUUAAACUGGCUUAUUAAGUUUGUAGGCCUGGACAGUAGCUUAAAGUUAAGGUAAGAAUUCUUUAAUUUUCUAGGGGACGAUAAGACCCUAGAAGCUUAACAAGCGUAUUAUUCUAGGUUUGUUUUAGAAGUUAGUUUGUUUUACUGGGGCGGUAAAAGUAAUUAAGCGAUUUAUUAUUUAAAGGAUCCUUUAAAUAAAGAUAAAAUGGAGAAGUUACUCUAGGGGUAACAGUGCAAUAUUUUUGGAGAGAUCUUAUUGAUAAAUAUGUUUGCAACCUCGAUG